GUCGUCUAAUACGUCUCUUACUUCCUCAUCACAAGGUAUCAUUGCUAAAUCAGUUUUUAAGUGGCAUCAAUCUGAAAUAUUUUUGAAUUUUUCAAAUUGCGAAGUAAUCUUGAUAUCACGAUCUUUAAACCUUAUUCCUCAGUAUUCAACAGGUUAGUUGAGACUGAGCAUGUAUUAAAUGGUCUAAUACAAACGGUUCAUCUUUAUUGGAUGGUACUUCUUAUCUUUCAUUGCAUGCACGUAUGUAUUUCUGC